rnacentral:lncRNA from 1 species
CCCUUGACAGGCCCCGCAUGUUUUGAAGAGGAACAUAUAUGUGAGAUGCCUUCAGCCAACAUUCCUGGCAACAAAUGGAUAAAUGCCUUUGUCCGGAAAGUUUGAUUUGAGUGGCAUGCCUCAGCUUCUACUACAUUGCUAAAACGUCACAGAAACUACGACAAAUGAAGGACAAGAAUGGUAAGAAUGGUGUGCAGGAACAUGUGAAUACAAAAAGCAACUGUUGCUUUUGAAGAUAUGAAGAUCUAAAUGCUUUCCUUCAAUUGUACAAGAACUAAAGUGAAACCUGAUAUCCAUGAACUGUGUCUUCUAUAUCUACCAACAAGCAAUGAGGCUUAGAGUCCUGAAAUGAUAAAAGUUGACUAACCAAGGCUGCCAGAGCAUUUAUAAGCAGAAGUUUGACGAGCUUUUAUCAUUUGAGUUGAUGCAUUCAAAA